UGUUACUGUUAGAUUUUCCUUGCCUUAAGAUGUCCGUUACUCCCUUCCCAUAAUUCCCUGCUUCUCACCUAAAAUAAUGACUUCCCCCACCUACCAAAGAACAGCCUUCUUCCCAUUAUGCCUCUUCUCCCUCCAAAAUGUAACCAGAUUCUUGCUACCUCGGAGUAACCAGUGAUGUCACAAGCCCCACCUAGUGGAAAACCUAUGAGCUCACUAAAAUCCUGUGCCCUCAAUGCACAUAGGUAUCAUAUCACUGGGAGAAAGUCUGGGACUUUCACUGCCUAACAAAGCUGAGUCAAGUGGAGAGUCAAGUAAUAGAAAUACAAACCCCGCAAUGCCAUGCAAGAAGGGCUGUAGCAGACUGUGCAUACCAGAGAACGGGAUGCAGCUCACACCACUGAGACUCAUGAAUGACAGCUCCUGUUAAGGAAUAUGCAGUAAUGUGACCAUGAUCCUUCAUGUGCACAGUUGCUAUGGGGAUCUCGCGCUGCACCCAUUCUGCUAGGAGUUGGAUCUUGGGAGCGACAUGAGCAAGGAAGAGCAGCUAUAAAGGAAUAGGUUGGCAGUCCAGAGCUCAGUCUUGGAAAUCCUUUGUACUCUUCUCCUCUAUAGACCAGAACCUCCAUCACAAACCCAUGCUAGAAGUUUGGAUGAUGAAUCAAUAGAGGCCUAGCCAAAUCCAUCACAGGGCCAACAGCCGGCCGACUCUUCAACAUCAGACAGGAGUGAUGCCACCUGGACUUCAAAGCAAUGAUAGACUG